AACGAUAUUCCGUCAUUUAAUCACACGAUGCGGUACCAGUCAAUUUCGCUCGCACACGGAUCGUUCCUUCAUUUUGUCAGUUGAAAUUUGCACAAUAAUAAUAGAUUUCAGCGCUUUAGAUUCCAGCACAUAGCUAGGGAACUAGAGUAAUGAUUACUUUUUACAAUGAAAUGGACAGUGUGUCCGGGACAGGUCGGUUUUGUCCCAAAAUUGAAUAAUUAUUUCGGAGGUGUGACCACGCGGUCGUCCGCUUCCGCGUUGUUUACCCGUACGUUGAACGUUACACAUUGCGCGUUUGGGCGCUGGGCCAUUGCAUCGAAUGAUGCGAAAGAGCUGGUUGCAUUCAACGUUCAUCAUGUUCACCGAUGACUGAAAACACAUAUCGAGAAAGGACUGCACCUGGGAACAUGUUCCUGCAUAUUUCUGGAGUUGUUGCGAUGUGAUGCCUUUGCAUGAUGGACAUCAGCUUUUGCAGCUCCCCACGCAUUCCCUGAACAACUCUCCCAGUUCGAUUGAAUUCUGUGUGAAUGAGUUCCCCGCCUUGUUCAUUAAGUAAACCAAAUCCAACUUUGAAGCGCUUGAGUUGCUCUGUUGCAUGGUCUUCUACAAAUUUGAGGAGAAGCUCCUGAAAAUUGAUCCCGAUUUGAGCAGCCUCACGACGAAGCCUCUCAUGAGCUCCUAGGGGCAGGUCAUCAGUUAGGUUUUUUUCAACAACCUCCAGGGGUACUGCUGUUAGUGCUUUAAUGACUUGAGGCUGGAAGAAGGGGAAAAGCGGUAAAUGUACACGUUCAUGUAGGUAAGGAUUGUAAAAAUACAGAACAGAGCAAAUACACAAUUGUAACAAAAUAAAGUAGCAGAUUUUCUGCCCAUACAUCUGGAGAAUUAUCCUAGUUGUUUGAUGACCAAGUUUGCUCUUUAUGCUUUUACCUCACAGCAUUUGUGCACAUGGUUGCCAACAAAUGAUUUGCCAUGAUAUGCCUGUCGUUGCACAUGGUGUUGUUGGAGGACUUUGUCCAGAGAGCUGGCAACUGAACCCGUAGCAAAAGGAAUUUUGGAAGUCUCCGACUGCUUCUCCUGUAAGAAUUGAGCAGUGACAGCAGCAACUCGUAGUUGGAACAACUGCACAUCAAGACCAUGGCAAGCAUUUUCGAACUCAUCGAACAGCUUCUUGAAGACCCCCAGGGAGAUGUGUAAUGUGGGAAGAAUUACCUGGAUUCAGGAAAUAAUGGUUACCAGCUGUCACUGCAUCCAUGUGCCUAGUCAAGAUGUGCGUGCCCCUGAUAAAGAAGCAAGGCUGAUUCGGUGAAAUUCGUCAUGGGGAGAAAGUAAGAAGGAAAUCAUGCUUACUGCCACUUGAAAGAUCCAAGCUUUGCAAUCUGGUCAAAAGUAAUCCAGUACCAUCUUGCUGAGGUCAUGCACAUAUGCAAAUGGAACAGCUCGAGUUUCAAGCCCAUUCACUCCAUCAGCUUUCUCACUGUUGAACACAAGCUGGGUCCAUGCAAGAUGACAAUCACGCAUCAUGAUGAGUGACGUCUCAGCUGUCAAGGGCUUCUGCUUGGCUGCUUCUGGGGAUUCACAUGGCUUUUUGGAUGUGACCUUUUGGAUGUAGGCAGGCUGUUUAAAGAGAGAAAUGUGGCUACUUUCAGUUAAAGUGUUGAGAACAUGUUGGCUAAAGUUGUAUUAUUUUGUAAAGUGGCACAGCUUUGUAUUUAUUUUGUUCACUUAAUUAAAUUCAUGUAACUGAAAUUUAUAUGUCUUUGUUGAGCUACAUGGAUAGUUGUAAAUAAAAAUAUGCAGUUUUAAGGAGCUUA